rnacentral:rRNA from 1 species
AGCUAACGCGUGAAAUUGACCGCCUGGGGAGUACGGUCGCAAGAUUAAAACUCAAAGGAAUUGACGGGGACCCGCACAAGCGGUGGAUGAUGUGGAUUAAUUCGAUGCAACGCGAAGAACCUUACCUGGUCUUGACAUGUACGGAAUCCUCCAGAGACGGAGGAGUGCCUUCGGGAGCCGUAACACAGGUGCUGCAUGGCUGUCGUCAGCUCGUGUCGUGAGAUGUUGGGUUAAGUCCCGCAACGAGCGCAACCCUUGUCAUUAGUUGCCAUCAUUUAGUUGGGCACUCUAAUGAGACUGCCGGUGACAAGCCGGAGGAAGGUGGGGAUGACGUCAAGUCCUCAUGGCCCUUAUGACCAGGGCUUCACACGUCAUACAAUGGUCGGUACAGAGGGUAGCCAAGCCGCGAGGUGGAGCCAAUCUCACAAAACCGAUCGUAGUCCGGAUUGCACUCUGCAACUCGAGUGCAUGAAGUCGGAAUCGCUAGUAAUCGCAGGUCAGCAUACUGCGGUGAAUACGUUCCCGGGUCUUGUACACACCGCCCGUCACACCAUGGGAGUGGGGG